rnacentral:lncRNA from 1 species
GAGUAGCUGAGAUUACAGGCAUGCGCGACCACGCCAGGCUAAUUUUGUAUUUUUAGUAGAGACGGGGUUUCUCCAUGUUGGUCAGGCUGGUCUCAAACUCCUGACCUCAGGUGAUUCACCCGCCUCGACCUCCCAAACUGCUGGGAUUACAGGCGUGAGCCACCACGCCUGGCCAGCUGUUGUUAUAACUGGAGUUCUAUGUGCUUGUGACCAUUCUUGGUUUCUCCGAAUAUCCUAGAACUUUGGUGGCGCCCUAUUAUACAGGUUGUUGAAGAAAUGUUACCAUGUGGAUUGAGUAGGAAACAAUUCUCUUUAUCUUGGCAAUAUUAUGGCAUGGCACUACUUAAAGUACAAAUUAAAAGAGGGGGAUGCUACAGAACUAGCUGACAGGCACUUUGAUAGAGGUGGAUUUCUCAGUUCUUAAAAUAGCUCUUUAUAAAGGAAGCCAGAGGCAUUGUGGAGGAGAAUUCUUACAUAACUCAUAGGGUUAGACCACAUCCGACCUUUUCUGUGUGGCUUCAUGGCUCUCUUGGUUGAGAAAGCAUUAGUUUCUCCUUCCAUUAGUUUCAACCUCUUGAUUUCUUGACCCCCCUACUAUAUUUUGUGCUGAGAACACAAGGGUAUUAACAACCCACAUUGUAGAGGAUCGCUCAGUAAUAAAGACUGGAGAAUAAAAUGCAGCAUGGGAAUAUUGGCAAUUACUCAGUUCUAAAUUUCUCUUGGAAAUGAGGGAAAGCAUACAGAAUAGAGCUGGAAUGAAUAGGAUAAUUUUUUUUUUUUUUGCUAAGUUGGUAGCCAGAAUAUAACAGCUCCGCACAACUGUAAAUGUCCACUCUUCAAUCCACAUGAAGAAAAGGGUAAAAAUAUGGUUGAACUCAACCACUAGUUGCCCAUUAGAACAGACUUUCCCAGUGUACUGCAUUUCAAUACUUUUUCUUUUAUCUCUUUUCAGAUCUUCCUCAGAAGAAUAGGCUUGUUGUUUUACAGUGUUAGUGAUCCAUUCCCUUUGACGAUCCCUAGGUGGAGAUGGGGCAUGAGGAUCCUCCAGGGGAAAAGCUCACUACCACUGGGCAACAACCCUAGGUCAGGAGGUUCUGUCAAGAUACUUUCCUGGUCCCAGAUAGGAAGAUAAAGUCUCAAAAACAACCACCACACGUCAAGCUCUUCAUUGUUCCUAUCUGCCAAAUCAUUAUACUUCCUACAAGCAGUGCAGAGAGCUGAGUCUUCAGCAGGUCCAAGAAAUUUGAACACACUGAAGGAAGUCAGCCUUCCCACCUGAAGAUCAACAUGCCUGGCACUCUAGCACUUGAGGAUAGCUGAAUGAAUGUGUCUUACCCAUUUCCAUGUUUCUCUUGCUAAUUUCUUUCGUGUGUGCCUUUGCCUCAUUUUCUCUUUUUGUUCACAAGAGUGGUCUGUGUCUUGUCUUAGACAUAUCUCUCAUUUUUCAUUUUGUUGCUAUUUCUCUUUGCUCUCCUAGAUGUGGCUCUUCUUUCACGCUUUAUUUCAUGUCUCCUUUUUGGGUCACAUGCUGUGUGCUUUUUGUCCUUUUCUUGUUCUGUCUACCUCUCCUUUCUCUGCCUACCUCUCUUUUCUCUUUGUGAACUGUGAUUAUUUGUUACCCCUUCCCCUUCUCGUUCGUUUUAAAUUUCACCUUUUUUCUGAGUCUGGCCUCCUUUCUGCUGUUUCUACUUUUUAUCUCACAUUUCUCAUUUCUGCAUUUCCUUUCUGCCUCUCUUGGGCUAUUCUCUCUCUCCUCCCCUGCGUGCCUCAGCAUCUCUUGCUGUUUGUGAUUUUCUAUUUCAGUAUUAAUCUCUGUUGGCUUGUAUUUGUUCUCUGCUUCUUCCCUUUCUACUCACCUUUGAGUAUUUCAGCCUCUUCAUGAAUCUAUCUCCCUCUCUUUGAUUUCAUGUAAUCUCUCCUUAAAUAUUUCUUUGCAUAUGUGGGCAAGUGUACGUGUGUGUGUGUCAUGUGUGGCAGAGGGGCUUCCUAACCCCUGCCUGAUAGGUGCAGAACGUCGGCUAUCAGAGCAAGCAUUGUGGAGCGGUUCCUUAUGCCAGGCUGCCAUGUGA